rnacentral:rRNA from 1 species
UACAGAGGGUGCGAGCGUUAAUCGGAAUUACUGGGCGUAAAGCGCACGUAGGUGGCGACGUAAGUCGGGUGUGAAAGCCCCCGGCUCAACUGGGGAGGGUCACGCGAUACUGAUCGACUCGAAGGCAGGAGAGGGUAGUGGAAUUCCCGGUGUAGUGGUGAAAUGCGUAGAUAUCAGGAGGAACACCUGUGGUGUAGACAGCUUACUGGACCACGACUGACGCUGAGACACGAAAGCGUGGGUAGCAAACAGG